GCCCGUUUGGCUCAGCGGUAGAGCGCCUCACUAGUACCAACCAGUGCUGCAAUGAGGAGGCGACUGGUUCGACUCCAGUAAUGGGCA
rnacentral:tRNA from 1 species